GGUGGCGUCAUUUGUGUAGAAAACCACGAGCAGCCGAAAUUGAGUGCGAAUAUUACAUUCCGUGAAAGCUGAACCAACAAAGAAACAUCAUUGUUCUAGCCAGUUUCCUUAUAUUAACUUUUAGGAAAACCAAGAGGUUGAUAACAAUGGCUGAUCUGCAUAUAAUGACUGCUAGUUAUUGGCUGGUAUGCAGUGAAAGGGAGCUAAAAAGGAGUAAAAAGUUCAUAUCAGCCAGGUGAGAAUUAAUUUCUUUUUUGUGUGUUAUACAUAUGUAAUUCUUUUCUUUUGCUGCUUCAAAUCUUGUGUAUUUGAAAAUUUUCAGUCUAAUAUUUUGGCAAUGUUAUAGGUAGUGUGGCUUAAAUAAACCAGUGUUAAGGAAUAUCCAGUAAUGGCAUGACAUCAUGAGAGUUUGGCAUACCGACAUUCAGAUGAUUAAUGAUGAAACUGAAGACCUCAAGUGAAAGGCAUGGAAAAUGAUCCUGUUCCCAUAUACCUGAAAAAGAGGAGGGAUGCCACAAUAUUGAUAAUAGACUUUUGUCAAUUUGAGAAGCAAAGAUGUAAAAAAAAAAAAAAAAAAAAAAAAAAAAAAAAAAAAAAUAAUAAUAAUAAUGCUGAAAUUAUAAUUCAUGUAUUUGUUAAAAAUACUGUUCACUGUACAUACAUGUAUAUUUUUUUUAAACUUAUUUGGAAAUACAUAAAGUAAUUCAUAUUAAAACUGUGAAUGUA